rnacentral:tRNA from 1 species
GUCUACAUAGCUCAGCUGGAUAGAGCAUACGCCUUCUAAGCGUACGGUCGUAGGUUCGAAUCCUACUGUGGACACCA